rnacentral:lncRNA from 1 species
UCCAGUUACAAUACUAUCCCAAAUCGAAAGCCCAAAAUUACAAGCCCAAAUCAAAAAACUUAAAGGCCCAAAAGCCUAAAUUUUUCUUUUCAGAAACAAAAACCCUAAUCUAGUGCCUGUGCGCCGCUCCUCCCACGUCAGCGCCGCUCCUAGCGCCUAUCCCCAACUGCUCCGUCAACCACCCUGCAAAGAAGAACAAACACGCAAGAAACAAUGAAAAAAAUAGAAGAAUAAUAUUGUAAAAUCGGCUAUAAAAAUCGUAAAAACCGAUUGUAAUGGGGGUUCUUUUUUUGAAAAAAACAGAGAAAGAAAUACAAAAAAGAAAUGCAAUCAGAAAUUUUUUAAACAACAGAAUACGAGAUUUCAAAGGUGAUUGAUUUUCUUUUUAUUUAUUUAUUUUUUUCAAAUCAUUAUAUAUAAAUAUAAAACAUAAAACAAAAAAAGGAAGGUUUUUACCUGCUUCGGUUGACAGAGAGAAGAGGAAACCGAAGGGUUUCUCACUUUUGGCCCGAUUUUCUCGAGAUCUCGGUGCUUUUAACCCCAAAACGGGGCUCCUCAUGAAAAAGAGGUUAAAAGGAACCAUUUUAGGUUUUUCUGGCCACCGUCGCCCACGACCGGUGGCCGGCACGGCGGUGACUCGCCGGAGCCAAGGCCGGCCGAAGGGUGGUUUGGAGAAAGGGGAGAGGGUUUCAGAAUAUUUUUUAGAAA